CUACGGAGGGUGCAAGCGUUAUCCGGAAUCAUUGGGUUUAAAGGGUCCGCAGGCGGAUUAAUAAGUCAGUGGUGAAAUCCUCUCGCUCAACGAGAGAACUGCCAUUGAAACUGUUAGUCUUGAAUUCGGUCGAAGUAGGCGGAAUGUGUCAUGUAGCGGUGAAAUGCAUAGAUAUGACACAGAACACCGAUAGCGAAGGCAGCUUACUAGACCUGGAUUGACGCUCACGGACGAAAGCGUGGGGAGCGAACAGGAUUAGAAACCCGGGUAGUCC
rnacentral:rRNA from 1 species